UACGUAGGGACCAAGCGUUGUUCGGAUUUACUGGGCGUAAAGAGCUCGUAGGCGGUUCGGCAAGUCGGAUGUGAAAUCUCCACGCUCAACGUGGAGGGGCCAUUCGAAACUGCCGUGACUCGAGUCCGGUAGGGGAGUGUGGAAUUCCCGGUGUAGCGGUGAAAUGCGCAGAGAUCGGGAGGAACACCCGUAGCGAAGGCGGCACUCUGGGCCGGUACUGGACGCUGAGGAGCGAAAGCGUGGGGAGCGAACAGG
rnacentral:rRNA from 1 species